rnacentral:lncRNA from 1 species
GGGGAAGGCGGUGCUCGUGCUGCUGGGCAGCGGAGCGUUUCAGACAAAGAGCCACGCAUUGGGGGUUCAGAGUGAGAAGCGGCAGCAGGCAGGAGACCUCGGUGAAGUGUGAAAGCCCCAGAAGCUAGGUGAGUGCUACUGCUCAGGGCCUUCUCCGACCAGAUUGGCCAUCCUCAAACUUCAGUUUGGCUCCGU